rnacentral:rRNA from 2 species
CUAUUAUUUUAAGUGUUAAUUUUGCUUACCUGGGUACUAUUAGUUAGGGUCUUUAAACCCAAAGAAUUUGGCGGUACCUUAUUCCAUUCAGAGGAACCUACCCCGUAAUUGAUAAUACACGAUUAACUUUACUUAAUUUAUUUGUUUGUAUAUCUCCGUUAUCAGAAAGUCUUUUUGGAGUUAAAAUUUUCUUGAUUUAUAAUUGUAAAGUAUUUCAGGUCAAGGUGCAGCUUAUAAUUAAGAGGAGGUGGGUUACAAUAAAUUUUUGUUUAUUACGUAUUUAAUAAUGAAAUAUUAUUAAUGAAGGUGGAUUUGAUAGUAAUUUAAUUUAUUUAAUUUAACUGAUAUUGGCUCUGAGGUGUGUACACAUCGCCCC